rnacentral:rRNA from 1 species
CACUCCUGCGGGAGGCAGCAGUGGGGAAUAUUGCACAAUGGGCGCAAGCCUGAUGCAGCCAUGCCGCGUGUAUGAAGAAGGCCUUCGGGUUGUAAAGUACUUUCAGCGGGGAGGAAGGUGUUGAGGUUAAUAACCUCAGCAAUUGACGUUACCCGCAGAAGAAGCACCGGCUAACUCCGUGCCAGCAGCCGCGGUAAUACGGAGGGUGCAAGCGUUAAUCGGAAUUACUGGGCGUAAAGCGCACGCAGGCGGUCUGUCAAGUCGGAUGUGAAAUCCCCGGGCUCAACCUGGGAACUGCAUUCGAAACUGGCAGGCUAGAGUCUUGUAGAGGGGGGUAGAAUUCCAGGUGUAGCGGUGAAAUGCGUAGAGAUCUGGAGGAAUACCGGUGGCGAAGGCGGCCCCCUGGACAAAGACUGACGCUCAGGUGCGAAAGCGUGGGGAGCAAACAGGAUUAGAAACCCGUGUAGUCCCAUGA